rnacentral:rRNA from 1 species
UACGUAGGGUGCGAGCGUUGUCCGGAAUUAUUGGGCGUAAAGAGCUCGUAGGCGGUCUGUCGCGUCGAUCGUGAAAACUUGGGGCUUAACCCUGAGCCUGCAGUGGGUACGGGCAGACUAGAGUGUGGUAGGGGAGAUCGGAAUUCCUGGUGUAGCGGUGGAAUGCGCAGAUAUCAGGAGGAACACCGGUGGCGAAGGCGACACGCUGGGCCAUACCUGACGCUAAAGCGCGACAGCAUGGGGAGCAAACGGG